AUCCUAGAGACCUUCCCGAAGUCUUCUUUACCCAACAUCUCUCUCCCCCAAAUCUCAACCUCAGCUUAGCUUAUAAAUGUCAUUUUAGCUUCUGUUGACCUUUCCAUUCCUAUCUCAAGCCAAUCACCAAUUAGCAAACUAAAGUCCAGACAAGCAAUACAAACAUUUUCUAGAUCAUCAGGAAGGAGAAUGGAAGGGGAAAAGGUAUGAAUAAUAAUAAUGUAAUGUUUUGACACAUAUAUGUGUGUGUGUGUGUGUUUGUGUGUGUGCAUAUGUGUGUAUGUGUGUAACAUCUGAGUGGUCUCCCUCAUAAAAUCUCCUCAAAUCACCUAAUGUCCAUGCAGUUAGAGGCUGAGGUUUCUUUCCUCUGUCCAAGACCUAUGCAUAGAUUUUCUUUUAUUAUUAUUAUUAUUUAUUUGUCAACCAGGAAAGCAGGGACACAUUAUGGAGCCCAGAACCUCAGAGCCUUCCUCUGUCUCCUUGCUCCAGCUUUUAUGCAUACUCUCGGGAAAAAUAUACACAUUUCUCCCUUUUGUUUUGCAGCAAAAUUCCAUUCCAACUAGAAGGAAGCAAAUCUAUCUGAAGGGAUGAGUUAUGGUUUGCCAGGCAGGCAGGUAGAUGGCAUUUCAGCAUUUCAGUUGGGGCAAUGGAUAGGCCUCUGAGGUCUUCCCCUAUGUUAGCUCCCCUGAUGUUUGAAUUUCAUGUAUAAUUGUUCUGGCCCAUUGAACACCUUCUCUCUCUCCUUACCUCCAUAACAAUUCACACAAAAAGUAGUGAAAACUGGAGAUACCCAGUUGCCUGUUCAUUCGUGGUUCAUCUUGGAUCUCUACAGGAGGGAAAGCAGCUAUUGGCUGAUUGUGUUCAGAGUGUGACAAGAGAAUGACCCACAAACUAGCCAGAGCCUCUGCAAGGAGGCCGGGUUGAGAAACCCACUGGUGCCACUUGAGGCACCACAUUGCAGAAAUCAGCCACAAAGUGCCUGGAGAGCUUGGGUUGGGGGGAGUGGGGCAACCCAGAGGAUGUGGGUGGGCAGCCAGGGGCAGAGGCAUUCAAAGGUUUCAGCUCUCUUUCUGGCUCUGCCACAUCAUGCCCUGUGCCCAUUCUAGCUCUUCUGGGAGCCUGUGCCUUCCCUGCUUCUCUGUUCCUCCCUUUGUAUAAUAGGAGCUUCUCCUGUUUCCACAAACAAAUUAAUGACAAUGACCCCCCAUUCCCAGGCUGGCCAAAG
rnacentral:lncRNA from 10 species